GCGGGCGCGGUGGCGGUGUCUGUAGUCCCAGCUAUUCGGGAGAGCUGAGGCUGGAGGAUCUCUUGAGUCCAGGAGUUGUGGGCUGUAGUGUGCCUGCGAUUGGGUGUCUGCACUAAGUUAUGGCAUCAAAUAUGUGACCUCCGGGAGCAGGGGACCACCAGGUUGCUUAAGGAGGGGUGAACCGGCCCAGGCUGGAAACGGAGCAGGUCAAAACUCCCAUGCUGAUCAGUAGUGGGAUUUCGCCUGUGAAUAGCCACUGCACUCCAGCCUUGGCAACAUAGCGAGACCCUGUCUCU
rnacentral:SRP_RNA from 1 species